CAGCACCUCAAGUUGUCAGGAUGAUUAUUGGGCCUAAAGCAUCCGUAGCCGGCGCUGUAAGUUUUCGGUUAAAUCUGUACGCUCAACGUACAGGCUGCCGGGAAUACUGCAGAGCUAGGGAGUGGGAGAGGUAGACGGUACUCGGUAGGAAGGGGUAAAAUCCUUUGAUCUAUUGAUGACCACCUGUGGCGAAGGCGGUCUACCAGAACACGUCCGACGGUGAGGGAUGAAAGCUGGGGGAGCAAACCGGAUUAGAGACCCGAGUAGUCC
rnacentral:rRNA from 1 species